UGAAUACGAGACGCUAAGGCGUCGAAGUAGUGUAUGUCAUACUUCCAAGAAAAGCUUGCACUGUCAUAGAUAAAAAACGCCUGUACCAUAACCGACACAGGUGGGUAGGUAGAGUAUACUAAGGGGCGCGAGAUAACUCUCUCUAAGGAACUCGGCAAAAUAACUCCGUAACUUCGGGAGAAGGAGUGCCUUAUUCGUAAGGUUGCAAUAACAAGAUCCAAGCAACUGUUUAUCAAAAACACAGGUCUCCGCUAAGUCGUAAGACGAUGUAUGGGGGCUGACGCCUGCCCAGUGCCAGAAGGUUAAAGAAGUUGGUUAGCAAUUGCGAAGCUGAUAACUGAAGCCCUGGUGAACGGCGGCCGUAACAAUAACGGUCCUAAGGUAGCGAAAUUCCUUGUCGGGUAAGUUCCGACCCGCACGAAAGGCGUAAUGAUUUGGAUACUGUCUCGGAGAGGGGCUCGGUGAAAUAGACUUGUCUGUGAAGAUGCGGACUACCUGCACCAGGACAGAAAGACCCUAUGAAGCUUUACUGUAACUUGAAAUUGAAAUUGGACUUUAUUCGCGCAGUAUAGGUGGGAGGCGUUGAUUAUAAUCUUGUGGGAUUAUUGGAGCCAUCAGUGAGAUACCACUCUUGUAAUGUUAGAUUUCUAACUUUGAAUCAUUAUCUGGUCAAAGAACAGUUUCAGGCGGGCAGUUUGACUGGGGCGGUCGCCUCCUAAACGGUAACGGAGGCGUACAAAGGUUUCCUCUGAACGGUUAGAAAUCGUAUCUAGAGUGUAAAGGCAUAAGGAAGCUUGACUGUGAGACCUACAAGUCGAGCAGGGACGAAAGUCGGUCUUAGUGAUCUGACGGUACUGAGUGGAAAGGCCGUCACUCAACGGAUAAAAGUUACUCUAAGGAUAACAGGCUGAUCUCCCCCAAGAGUUCACAUCGACGGGGAGGUUUGGCACCUCGAUGUCGGCUCAUCGCAUCCUGGGGCGGUAGUACGUCCCAAGGGUUGAGCUGUUCGCCCAUGAAAGCGGUACGCGAGCUGGGUUCAGAACGUCGUGAGACAGUUCGGUCCAUAUCCGGUGUAGGCGUUAGAAUAUUGAGAGGAGCCUUCUUUAGUACGAGAGGACCGAGAAGGACAUACCUCUGGUGUACCAGUUAUCGUGCCAACGGUAAACGCUGGGUAGCUAUGUAUGGAGUGGAUAACCGCUGAAAGCAUCUAAGUGGGAAGCCCACCUCAAGAUAAGUAUUCCC
rnacentral:rRNA from 1 species